rnacentral:rRNA from 1 species
GAUGAACGCUGGCGGCGUGCCUAAUACAUGCAAGUCGAGCGAACGGACGAGAAGCUUGCUUCUCUGAUGUUAGCGGCGGACGGGUGAGUAACACGUGGAUAACCUACCUAUAAGACUGGGAUAACUUCGGGAAACCGGAGCUAAUACCGGAUGAUAUUUUGAACCGCAUGGUUCAAAAGUGAAAGACGGUCUUGCUGUCACUUAUAGAUGGAUCCGCGCUGCAUUAGCUAGUUGGUAAGGUAACGGCUUACCAAGGCAACGAUGCAUAGCCGACCUGAGAGGGUGAUCGGCCACACUGGAACUGAGACACGGUCCAGACUCCUACGGGAGGCAGCAGUAGGAAAUCUUCCGCAAUGGGCGAAAGCCUGACGGAGCAACGCCGCGUGAGUGAUGAAGGUCUUCGGAUCGUAAAACUCUGUUAUUAGGGAAGAACAUAUGUGUAAGUAACUGUGCACAUCUUGACGGUACCUAAUCAGAAAGCCACGGCUAACUACGUG